rnacentral:rRNA from 1 species
AAUUGGAGGGCAAGUCUGGUGCCAGCAGCCGCGGUAAUUCCAGCUCCAAUAGCGUAUAUUAAAGUUGUUGCAGUUAAAAAGCUCGUAGUUGAAUUUCGGGAUCAAUAUUUCGGUCAUGCCGUUGGUAUGCACUGUUAUCAUUGAUUUCUCACCUUCUAAAGAACCGUAAUGCCAUUAAUUUGGUGUUACGGGGAAUUAGGACUGUUACCUUGAAAAAAUUAGAGUGUUUAAAGCAGGCUCACGCUUGAAUACAUUAGCAUGGAAUAAUGAAAUAGGACAUCCGAUUCUAUUUUGUUGGUUUCUAGGAUCGAUGUAAUGAUUAAUAGGGAUAGUUGGGGGCAUUAGUAUUCAAUUGUCAGAGGUGAAAUUCUUGGAUUUAUUGAAGACUAACCACUGCGAAAGCAUUUGCCAAGGAUGUUUUCAUUAAUCAAGAACGAAAGUUAGGGGAUCGAAGACGAUCAGAUACCGUCGUAGUCUUAACCAUAAACUAUGCCGACUAGGGAUCGGAUGAUGUUAAUUUUUUAAUGACUCAUUCGGCGCCUUACGGGAAACCAAAGUGU